GAGCCGGUCUCGCGCAAUGAAGCUCUGCGAACCAUGUCAGGCGGGGAACCGAGCAGCAUUAAGCGGAAUGUUUCAUGUGCCGCGAGGCAACCGGCUCCGC
rnacentral:SRP_RNA from 1 species